GCUCCUAAAAAAGUUGUUGGGGUUUUUUUUAAAGUAAACUACCAUUUUGUGCCAUGGGUGUAAGCUCUGUUAUCCACCCGAAGAAAACUCACGUUCCAACUAUACACUUCAACUACAGAUAUUUUGAAAUUGAGCAAGCAGAUGGAAGAACUGUGGAAUAUCUGACUGAGGGAAAGAAAAGGCACAAGAAACUACAUGUCCAGCCACGUAUUUUGAAAAUGGUGCCCCAUGGAUGGUUUUGUAAAUGGCACCACAAAAUGUGGGGCAUCAUAGAACUGUCAUUUGCAUAUCCACACUUUUUGUCAGGCAAAAUUAUCUUGUAUAAACAUUUCAACAACAAAUUUG